rnacentral:rRNA from 1 species
CCUACGGGUGGCUGCAGUGGGGAAUAUUGGACAAUGGGGGGAACCCUGAUCCAGCCAUGCCGCGUGUGUGAAGAAGGCCCUCGGGUUGUAAAGCACUUUCAGUGAGGAAGAACGCCUGGUGGUUAAUACCCAUCAGGAAAGACAUCACUCACAGAAGAAGCACCGGCUAACUCCGUGCCAGCAGCCGCGGUAAUACGGAGGGUGCGAGCGUUAAUCGGAAUUACUGGGCGUAAAGCGCGCGUAGGGGGCUUGAUAAGCCGGUUGUGAAAGCCCCGGGCUCAACCUGGGAACGGCAUCCGGAACUGUCAAGCUAGAGUGCAGGAGAGGAAGGUAGAAUUCCCGGUGUAGCGGUGAAAUGCGUAGAGAUCGGGAGGAAUACCAGUGGCGAAGGCGGCCUUCUGGACUGACACUGACACUGAGGUGCGAAAGCGUGGGUAGCAAACAGGAUUAGAUACCCUUGUAGUC